rnacentral:tRNA from 1 species
GGCUAUAUAGUUUAAGGUAGAAUAUUAAAUUGCAAGUUUAAUGGUAAUUAUAUAAUUUAUAGCUU